GGAAAACUAAUCUUAGGAGUAAGAGAAUUAAAUAUGAGACUCCUGAACCUCAAAAGGAUGUUGAUAAGAAGAAGAUAUUUGGCUCACUCAUUGAUGAUGAUCCAGAUGGUGGGCCUAGCACCCGUCUGAGGAAAAGAAUUCCAAAACCGAGCAACGAGUCGCCCGCCAAGUCGGUGAAGGCCAAACCAGCUCCAACUAAGCAGCACGAAAGCAAGAAAGGUCCCAAGGUCAAACUUCCUUUUGCAAAUAGCAUUGCAAAGAAAGAACCAGUAACGAAGGGUCCUAGAAGUAAUAUAGGUAAAAGGAUGAGGGAGGAAGGAGAAUAUCAUUGUGACUUGGAAGGGUGCAGUAUGAGUUUUAGCUCAAAGCAGGAGCUUACAUUGCAUAAAAAGAAUGUUUGUCCUGUCGAAGGGUGCAAGAAGAAGUUCUUCUCACACAAGUAUUUGGUACAGCAUCGAAGGGUUCAUA
rnacentral:misc_RNA from 1 species